rnacentral:misc_RNA from 1 species
GAUGAAGAACGUAGCGAAAUGCGAUACGUAAUGUGAAUUGCAGAAUUCAGUAAAUCAUCGAAUCUUUGAACGCAUAUUGCGCUCUCUGGUAUUCCGGAGAGCAUGCUUGUUUGAGUAUCAGUAAACACCUCAACUCCCUUUUCUUUUUUGAAAUUGGAGCUGGACUUGAGUGAUCCCAACGCUUUCUUCCAAGAAAGUGGCGGGUUGCUUGAAAUGCAGGUGCAGCUGAACUUUUCUCUGAGCUAUAAGCAUAUCUAUUUAGUCUGCCUAAAAAACAGAUUAUUACCUUUGCUGCAGCUAACAUAAAGGAGACUAGUUCUUGUGCUGACUGAUGCAGGAUUCACAGAGACAGCUUCGGCUGACUUUGUAAACUCGAUCUCAAAUCAAGUAAGACUACCCGCUGAACUUAAGCAUAUCAAUAAGCGGAGGA